rnacentral:rRNA from 1 species
AAUACGUAGGGGGCAAGCGUUAUCCGGAUUUAUUGGGCGUAAAGAGCUCGUAGGCGGCCGUUCGCGUCGGAUGUGAAAGCUCAGGGCUCAACUCUGAGACGCCAUUCGAUACGGGACGGCUAGAGGUAGGUAGGGGAAAGUGGAAUUCCUGGUGUAGCGGUGAAAUGCGCAGAUAUCAGGAGGAACACCGGUGGCGAAGGCGGCUUUCUGGGCCUUACCUGACGCUGAGGAGCGAAAGCUGGGGGAGCGAACGG